rnacentral:tRNA from 1 species
UAAAUUUUAAGUUAAAAAAACUGUAGGCCUUCAAAGCCUGAAAUGGGUAUCCAAAUUUAG